GACGAACGCUGGCGGCGUGCUUAACACAUGCAAGUCGAACGGUAAGGCCCUUCGGGGUACACGAGUGGCGAACGGGUGAGUAACACGUGGGUGAUCUGCCCUGCACUUCGGGAUAAGCCUGGGAAACUGGGUCUAAUACCGGAUAGGACCACUGCCUGCAUGGGUGGUGGUGGAAAGCUUUUGCGGUGUGGGAUGGGCCCGCGGCCUAUCAGCUUGUUGGUGGGGUGAUGGCCUACCAAGGCGACGACGGGUAGCCGGCCUGCGAGGGUGACCGGCCACGCGGGGACGGAGAUACGGCCCAGACUCCUACGGGGGGCAGCAGUGGGGAAUAUUGCACAAUGGGGGCAAGCCUGAUGCAGCGGCGCCGCGCGGGGGAUGACGGCCUUCGGGUUGUAAACCUCUUUCAGCACCGACGAAGCGCAAGUGACGGUAGGUGCAGAAGAAGGACCAGCCAACUACGUGCCAGCCGCCGCCGUAA
rnacentral:rRNA from 1 species